UGGCUUCAGGCCCAAGCCGUGGCUGAGGAGCAGGAUACAUGGCUCACUGAUGUAGCCGACUUUGGGAGUGUGUUCAUUUCGGGUGACUCGGCUGGUGGAAAUAUAUCUCAUAACUUGGCUGUUAAGCUUGGAGCCGGCUCACCUGAGCUGGCGCCGGUUAGAGUAAAGGGGUAUGUCCUUCGGGCUCCUUUCUUUGGCGGGACUGUGCUUACCAAGUCUGAAGCUGAAGGGCCAAAAGAUGCAUUCUUGAAUGGGGAGCUCAUUGACAGGUCAGCUGCUGACUAAUUAUGCAGCACUAAUUUCAUAUUUUUUGGAAUACACUAAUUCGAUAAAAAAAAAUGCACUAAAUACUCCCCUUGGCUAUUUAGACACAUAAUGCUUUUUUUAAUAAAUUAUAAUUUUUUUAUUAAGGGUUUUGUGAUUUUUCAAGAUUAACUUGUACAUGUUCAAACAAAAAAAAGUUGUAUUUCAGUUAUACAAUAAAUAUAAAAUAGAUCACUUUUUACAUUUUUGUUGGUUCUCGUUUUACAUAAUCUUAAACGUGUCAAAAGUGAUGCAAAAUAGUAGUUGUAAUGUGUCAUGCCCGUUGAAAGCAAUACAAGUUGAUAGCAAUUGUAAUUGUUUAAGGAACUCAUGAUUAAGAUUUGAUUACUUUUAUGUACAGAUUAUGUGAAUUCCUUGUUUAAAUUGCGAGUUUUCGUAGAAAAAUUUUCUCGAUGCAUUUUGUAAUUACUUUUUUAUCUCACAUUGCUAUAAUAUAUUUUUCAACAAAACUCCAUUACCUUGCAAUCCAAACGGAUAGAUUUUGUGAUUUUGUUACGUACACCACCACGGUGAAUUUCGUUAGCUAUAUGGUUUGUUAUUUUGCUUGAUGAAUUAGGUUCUGGAGGCUUUCAGUACCAGCUGGGGAGACAACUGACCAUCCGCUAAUAAAUCCAUUUGGACCUUAAGCCCCAACCUGGAAACAGCUGAUCUUGAUCCCAUCCUAGUGGUUUGUGCAGGAAGCGAUUUAUUGAAAGACAGAGUUGAGGAGUAUGCAAAGAAGUUGAAAGGGUGGGGAAAGAAAGUUGAGUAUGAGGAAUUUGAAGGACAGCAACAUGGGUUCGUCACUAUAAAUCCCAACUCUGAACCUUCCAAGAAGUUGAUGGGAAUCACCAAACAAUUCAUUACUAAAUAUUCUGCCUGAGUACUCAAUGUUUGAUGAGCCUUUUCAAACGAAGAAGAAAAGAAACAGUUGAAGCCUCAUUUGUGUUUAUCAAUUGCAGGUCUUUCUGUUCAUGUCAUGUGCUCCGUAAUUGCUCAAAUAAUAUAUCAUGUUACAAAUUUGUGCCAAGGAAUUAUAGCCUCCAUUAGUGUUUUGUCUCGGACUUGUGCUUUAUCUCAAGUUUCAUCACCUUACAAAUGAUAUUAAGUUGGAGCUACAUAGGAAUCAAUUGACUAAACAACCAUUUCUUUACUAGAGAAUAAGUUCAUUUCGAAAUGACAUUGAAAUGUUGAUCAUCGAUUUAAAACCACAAAAGUAUACAAGGAGAAAAAAAUAGAUAAAUACUGCAACUUAUUCAUGGGUAUUAAUUGUCCCGUUCCAAAUUCACAACUUUAUACGAUGAUUAUUUAAGGAUAAGUAUGAAAUUUUGAAAUUUCGAACAUAUCUAUUUCACAACAUCACUAAAAAGGUCAAUAAUUAUACAACCUUUUUAUGUGAUCAUGUUGUUGAACGUUGUUUUGUAUAUUAACUCGUUCUUGAUGGCACCAAGGAUGCCAAUCAUGCCAUAAUGCAUAUGAGCUUUCCUUAACUAGUAGUUAGCCUACUGCUAGAACAAAUUAGGUAUGUUUCGUUAUCAAGAUUUGCCAAAAAAAAUUCAAAUUUUGUUGUGCUUACAUCAUAAGUAUAAUUUCCAACCACUUUUUAUCUAUCACAUAUAUCACGUCAUAAAGAGUGCUAUUGUAAUUAUUUCAAAUAAAUAUUUCAAAUAAUCACCCUGCCAAAACAAAUGUUUUCAAGGUAACUAAUAGGUCACUUUACCUCUUUAACGGUUUGGUGCGACUAUCAAUUUCCCCCUUAACGUUAUUUUUUAAUCACUUUAUCUUCAAGACUAACAAUCAAACUUAAUAGAGUUUCACUUUACCCCCAUAAACUAUAGCCUCAUUAUCAAUUUACCCUAUAAAGUUAUGUUUUAAACAAUUUAUCCCACCAUUAAACCAAUUUAGUAAGUUAAAAAACUUUAGAGAAAAUACCCUCCUCUUUGUAUAAUAAAAAUAAUAAAAAAUUUAAAAGUGGCUCUUUUCAUUUUUAGUAUCAAGAAAAAAAAUCAAAGUAUUAAUCUCUUUCUUCUUGGCAAUCUUAUUAAUAUUAAAACAAAUAGAAAGAUUAGGAGGGGGAGGGAGAGGGGAGAGAGAGAUAGAGAGAGAGAGAGCUCAAUUAUUUUUUUUAAAUACACAUAAGAAAGAAUGAAAUACUUUUAUUAUUUAAAAUUAUUUUACUUUAAUGUUUACUGCCAGAUUUCAAUCCUAAUCCCAACAACCUUAAAUUAAUACGAUAAUGUUAGACUUUUCUUUAUUUUUUUCUUUGUAAAAUCUAAUUUUCGGUCUCCUUCUUUCCUGUCUCUUUUUCUUUUCCUAAUAAUAAUAAGUGUGAAAAAGAAAUUUGAGAACAUCCUUUUAUUUUUAUAUUUUGGAUCUCUUAAAGUGAAAAAAAGAAGAAUAAUCGUUCCAACUUUUUUAUUUUUAAUUAUAUAUAUUAAAGGGUCAAUAUAUUUAAAAUUUUUUGACCAUACUAAUUAGAUUAACGAUGAAGUAAAAUACCUAGAAAAUAAUGUUAGAAAUAAAGCGAUUAUAUCACUAUAAUUUAAAGGAAUAAAAUAAUAAUAACAAUAUAGUAAUGCUAUAGAAUAAAAAAAAAUUUUGUUCAAAAUUUCUUAACAUGUUAACCUAAAUUACUUAUGAGGAUGAAAUGACUAAUAGAUAACGUUAAGAGAUAAACUGAUAGUAGUAAUAUAGUUGAAGGGAUAGAGUGAUAAUGACCCUAAUUGAUAUUUGAUACUCGCAAUGAAGAAUGCAAAAGUUUGUGUGAAAUAGAUGUAGACAUGACUUGUCAAUAACAGAAAGUUCAUAAACAAUCUCUAUGAGUUAUAAAUUUCCAUUUAGUUUAAUCAUUUAAGUCAUCCGCCACGCAAUGUAUAUAGGUGAUUGUCAUAGUUCAUGAAGAGUUGUUCUCGCCUUGCUUGACAUCCACAAUUUGGUUCCUUUUUUUUUAAUUAAAUUUUCUUUUGCAUUUAUUUUACUAAACUCUCCCUUCUUGUCACAACAAGAGAUAUUCUUCUGCUGUGGUCUUACUAUCUUUUUCCGAUAUCAUUUUAGCACAACUCAUUCCUAGCCUAGGGACAAAGACCAAAGAAUUGGUAAUAGAAGUGAAAACAAGUAUCAUAAACAUUGUCAAUCUUUUUUUGCUUUUUAAUACAAGCUCACCAUUUCAAACAAUCGAAAUUAUUUUGCUUAUUCACUUUUGGUCUAGCACAUUCUCUUUCUUUCUCUAGUUCCCUUCCCCUAACAUUGAUCUCUCCUUUGAUUAGAUUUCAAGCCUGUGACGGUGGCAAGCAAUGGUGGUGUGAUGUGCAAGCAUGAAAAAAUUUUACAUAUUGGAUUUUCUUUUUUUUUUACUUUUUAAUCAAAUAGCUAAAUUGAAACUUCUAAAAUAAACUGAAUCAUUUGAUAUAAAUCUCGAUGGGUUAGAUGUGAUAUAAAGGAAAGAUUCGUUGAGGAUUAUUGAUGAUGGAUGCACCGAGGAUUCUGGUUCAAAAAGGGGAAAUGACUUCUUCUUUUUUUUUUUAAUCACAGCAAUAACAUUUGUAUAAUUUACUCUUACCUAAUCUAAGGGAGGGCAAGCUGACGGAAAACCCCCAUCGACGAAAGUCACUUGAAGUGGCAGCCACAAUUAAGUGGCAAGGUAGAAGGCAAGUAAGGCUGCAAACGAAUCGAACUGCUCGUGAGCCGCUCGCGAGCAGCUCGAGUCAAGUUCGACUCGAGGUCGUUCAAUAUCGAGCUCGAACUGGUUCGAGUCGGACUCAAACUCAAAAUAUUAAACUCGUUGGCUUGCGAGCUUGAGUAUAUAUAUAUUUUUUAUUUUAUUUUAUUUUAUUUUUUAUUUUAAUAGUAAAAUUAUAUAUAUAUCCUUAAUAUUUUAUUAUUUAUUAAGAAAAAAUAUUAUUUUAUUUAUUUUUUAAAAAAAUAAAUUUGUUUUUUAUUUUUUCGAGGUCGAGCUCAAGCUCGAACUUUAAAUUGUCAGCUCGUCGAACUCGAGCUCGAUUUCGAGUUUAAUAAAACUAAGUCAAGACUCGGCUCAAUUAGGCUAAAACUCGACUCAACUCGGCUCGUUUGCAACCUUAGAAGCAAGAGUUGAAUUCUUGACCUCCCACCUCUACUAAGACAUUUAUCAACAGCCUACUAAGGACGAUGAAGAUAAAGAAGAAUUGAGAGAGAGAGAGAGAUAGAUAGAGAAAAAUAAUUAAAGAUUUUUCAAGUAUAUAAUUGUAUAUCAAGGGGGAAAAAAUUAAAGCAAGACCUAUUUAAUAAUCCUUUAUGAAAAACACUAUGAAAUAUGACAAAAAUGAUUGUGGAGUACCAUUAUAAAAGUGAAGUGUGAUUAACAUUUUUUUACCUCAUGGUAUAAUUUUGUAAUGAUACUCUCAUUAUUUUUUUUAUCAUAUAGUUAAUAAAUAAAAAUAAUAAAAAGAGUGUCAUUAUAAAAAUGGAGUGCGAUUAACAUUUGCAAUAAUAAAAGCCGUUAUCAUUAAUCAAUAGAGACACAAUAACCUGCCCCACUUGGCUCCACUUUCUUGACUCGCAUGAUUCAAAAUUUCACAUUAAAAAAACAAAAUAAAAAACUCUAGCGGUUCUCUUUUACUCCCCCCCACAUUUGAAUUCCAUCUCUAUGAACCACCUUCUAUCUAUGUCUCUGGAUCUUGUACUCUAGUUCAAUUGCGAAGGAUGUACGAUGAAUUUCCAAUAUUUUUAAUGUCACUUUGCCAUAGCAGUGCCAUUCACCAGAUCUAUCCUUAGCCUCUACUAAUCCGUCUGGAUUGGUUAUUUUUUCAAAUACAAUAUUACAGUAAUACACAAUAACUCAAAAAAGCAUCUCAUCCAACACCUUUAAAAAACAGCUAAUCCAAACAAACACAAGAAGUUCAUGUUUGGGGAGAGCAGGUUGUUAACUUCCUUCAAUUGGAGAAUUGUCAAGGGCUCCCUGCACCUUGACAAUUCCAUACUAACACCUUCAUAUUUUUAGAGGCCAGUUUGGGUUGGCCUCUACCACUCUUCUCUCUUGUGUCAGCUUCCAUUUCUUCUGUUGUUCUGUUUUUCUUCAAGUUACGAUCCUCCUCAUCUAAUCUAGCAUUACUUUCAUCUCUCAAGCUAAAUUUUCCUUUUCUUGGGGUUCUGCUCUGCUACUUUGCCAUUCACUUCUUGUAGUGGUUGUCUGGUCCUGGAUGGAGUUUUGAGUUGUUUGUUCAUUCUUUUCCUUUCUUCAGUGAGGCCACCUUCAUCAUGUCUGAGAGUACUUCAUCUAUUUGUAUACUUUUUACUUCUUGUUUUCUUUUUCAUUAUUGUCCCUUUUAUGCAUCUUAGCCAUUUCCUAAUCCACAGGAGUCAGAGGGUGAUUUUGUGUCUCCUUUACUCCCUGUCUCUUGUUGUUAAUGAGACUGUUUGAUUUGUGUGUAUUCCCUGUUUGCCAUCACUUGUCUCUGCCUUGUGGUUGUAUAGAAGGCUUUCCUACCCUACAGUGUAUGCCCUUGUGAUUAUUGUCUCUAUCAGCCUACCCUUUUCUUGGUCAAUUUCUCCAACCCUUACCACCUCAGUUUUAUUAGAUGUUGUAGACUCCCCUUUUGUAUUUUCCUUCCCUAGCUUUCCUUUCCUAUCUGAUCAUUUUACUGACUCUUCUCCCUCUCUGCCGGUCUCUCGAGGACUAGUUCUCCAUCUCUAAAUCCCCAGUGGACCCUACCACUUGUAUACUUGUUCUGUGCUUGCUCCUUUUGUGGUGAACUCUUUCCUCCACCUACACUCAGCCAUGGCCCAUAUUGAUUUUCUAACUGACCUCUUUCCAUUCUCACUUCAAUCUUGCAGCUUCUCUUUACUAUGUCCUAUUCUUCCACAAUUGUAGUAGAAAUCUAGACACCCUUCAUAUUUGAAACUUAUUCUUUAGUAGUUCCAUUCAAUUUGACCAUCCUACCUCUUAUCAGUGGUUGUGAAAUAUCUGCCAUCACCAAGAUUUUUAUGUGCCUGCUAUCUUUCCCUCUAGUUUGCGGGACUAUGACUUCCUUAAGAUCCAAUGGACAGGAAGAUUUCACAAUUGUAUCCAUGAUGGAGCUAUAUGAAAUGCUAAGGUUUCCUCCUCUAUCCCUUCAAACCAACUACUUAACACCAGCAUUUGAUUAUCUAGGAUCUAGGGCCGCCCCUUUAGGAUAUGUUUUCUGUCCUCCUCCUUGGCCAGAAUGAAUUGGAAUAGGUUUGGUCCUAAUUCAAGACUUUCAUUUCUUUUGGGGAGCUUCAGGCAGCAGUCACAAAGUUUUUCCCCCUACAAAAUUGACAAUUUUUCCCCCAUAACUCUUCCCCAAGACUAGUUUGGCACUCUCUAAGUCCUAGGUUAACAUUUCCCAAAUCCAGGUUUGCAUCCCCUAUUUCUUUGCUCGAGAGAGCCAGUUUUUGCAUUAUUUCUGAUAGUUCUUUCUCCAUUGUUAAACAAAUUCUAAAGGUAUUCCACGCACUUCUUUCCCUACCAGAAUUCAGUAGCUGGAAGUUUGGAGAAGGGGAACGCACAGUACACGAAGAAACACGGAACUAUAGCUAUACACACUAAGAAAAGACACAAAGGAAGUAAAGGCUACUUUAAUUGGCAAGGAAGGAAUCAAGGAUCUGAGCUUCGAGAUUACCUGUCACGCCCCGAGCCCGCACGUGCCAGUACAUGACAUCCGCCGUACUC
rnacentral:lncRNA from 1 species